UACGUAGGGUGCAAGCGUUGUCCGGAAUUAUUGGGCGUAAAGAGCUUGUAGGCGGUUUGUCGCGUCUGCUGUAAAAUUUCGGGGCUCAACCCCGAACUUGCAGUGGGUACGGGCAGACUAGAGUGUGGUAGGGGAGACUGGAAUUCCUGGUGUAGCGGUGAAAUGCGUAGAUAUCAAGAGGAACACCUGCGGCGAAGGCGGGUUGCUGGGCCGACACUGACGCUGAGGCGCGAAAGCCAGGGGAGCGAACGGG
rnacentral:rRNA from 1 species